AGAGUUUGAUCAUGGCUCAGGAUGAACGCUAGCGGCAGGCUUAACACAUGCAAGUCGAGGGGUAACGGAGAAAGCUUGCUUUCAGACGACGACCGGCGCACGGGUGAGUAACGCGUAUGCAACCUACCAAUAACUUGGGGAUAGCCCGGAGAAAUUCGGAUUAAUACCCAAUAAUAUUUUAAGAAGGCAUCUUCUUAAUCUUAAAGUUCCGACGGUUAUUGAUGGGCAUGCGUAGCAUUAGAUUGUUGGUGAGGUAACGGCUCACCAAAUUGUCGAUGAUGCUUAGGGGGUCUUAAAGGAUGGUCCCCCACACUGGUACUGAGACACGGACCAGACUCCUACGGGAGGCAGCAGUGAGGAAUAUUGGUCAACGGAGGCAACUCUGAACCAGCCAUGCCGCGUGCAGGAUGACGGUCCUAUGGAUUGUAAACUGCUUUUGUACGGGAAGAAACCUGAUUACGUGUAAUCAGCUGACGGUACCGUAAGAAUAAGGAUCGGCUAACUCCGUGCCAGCAGCCGCGGUAAUACGGAGGAUCCAAGCGUUAUCCGGAUUUAUUAGGUUUAAAGGGUGCGCAGGCGGAAAGAUAAGUCA
rnacentral:rRNA from 1 species